rnacentral:rRNA from 1 species
AAAAGAUGGUUUAGAAUAAUUUUUCUCGAGUUUAAAAGGGUAAGGUAAUUAUAUAUUUUAUUGUAAAAUAAAUAUUUAUGAUUAUUUCCUGGAAAUGAAAUGUUAUUCGUUUUUAAAUAUAUCUAGUUUUUUAAGAAACAAAUUUAAUUUGGUUGGAAUACGUAAAUAUAUAAAAUUUUUGAUUUGUUGUUUUGUAUUUUGGUUAAUAUUUUAGGGGAUGAGCUUUAAAAUAAAUUACUUAGAAAUUAUUUAAAAUACAUUAAUUUGUUGGAUUAGAAGUUUCUAUCUUUAGAGUGUGUUAUAACACAUUAAUGGUUGUUUAUAAUUUUUUUUUGUUUUAGGUUUUAUAUUAAAAUUAUUUAGUUAAUUUUAGGUUGAAUGUAAUAAUGAUAGAAUUAGUAUAUAAGUUGUGUAUAAGUGAAUAGUAAAUUUAAGGUGAUAUAAAGGAAUUCGGCAAUGGAUUCCUUGCCUGUUUAUUAAAAACAUGUCCUUUUGAUAAUGAUUUGAGGUCUAGCCUGCCCACUGAAUUUUGAAUGGCCGCGGUAAUUUGACCGUGCAAAGGUAGCAUAAUAAUUAGUUUUUUAAUUGGGAGCUGGCAUGAAUGGUUGGACAAGGGGAUAACUGUCUCUAUAUUAUUUUGUUAGAAUUUUACUUUUGAGUAAGAAGGCUUAAAUUUUUUUAAAAGACGAGAAGACCCUAUAGAGUUUGACAUUAAUUAAUUUUUUUUUAUGUGGGUUGGUUAAUAUCUUGAUUAUAUAAUGUUUUGUUGGGGUGACAGGAAAAUUAAAUAAACUUUUCUUAGAUUUUACCAUUAUUUUAUGAUUUAAUGAUCCGUUUUUAAUGAUUAUAAGAUUAAAUUACCUUAGGGAUAACAGCGUUAUUAAUUUUGAGAGUUCUAAUCGAAAAAUUAGAUUGCGACCUCGAUGUUGGAUUAAAAUUAACAAUAGGUGUAGUAGCUUAUUAGUUAGGUCUGUUCGACUUUUAAAAUUU